GAGGAUCACCGGAAGGAGUGCCGCCGGCUCGUCGUCUUUCAUACCUACGCACGCAGCUGCCAGCUGCAGGGGUGUUGCGAGGAGUUAGAGGUUGUGCGCCGGCCGGAGCAGCAGGAGCAAGGAUAUGGCCGCCUCUCUUCUCUGCCACGGUUCCCUCCUCUUCCUUCAGCUCUCGAGAUGUCGACCUGCAGGUUUAGGCAAACCAUUGUUUGACAACAAAUAUGCGGAGGCGUUUUUAUGGAUGUGCGUUUCACCUGAAUCUGGAGAGCUAUUCAAUCUGUCGCGGACAUUUUUGGUGGAAUUCAAUGCUUCAGCAGCUUGGGAGCAAGUAGAAAUACCUGAUUUGAUGCUCAUGCUUCCAAAAUUUUCACAUUUCGCGAGAGCUAGGCGUACUUCUCGAUGACCUUGCCGUCUCCAACCCAUCCGUGGGAUUAUUAUGGAUUUUCUGAAGGUGGUGGUGGGGGUUGCACGGCAUGCUCUGUCUGGUUUCAGGAGUGUGUGCUGCACCUGAAAAAAUUUCUCGGGUUGUCUCUCUUCGUAUUUCCACCUUAGUUGUGAUAUUUUAUUUAUUGCUAAUCAUUUGAGUUAGUGUACAAUCAUAUAUUUGUCACCCAUGGCUCCUUAGAGAGCUGGACAUGCUUGGUUGGAGUCGUCGUCGUCGUCCUGGUUGGGGAGAUGAGCAUGCUUAUGCUUAUAUUACAAAGAUUAGUGUGUAGUCCUUCUAUGCCUUCUAAUUAGAUAGUUUGGCUUGAUUUUAGAUGCUUACAAUCUCUUGUCAUAGAAUUUUAUAAUUGCUUCUCAUGGAAAGCAGCCCUCUCCCAAGCUGACGGACUUGGUUUGUUUUUCAAUGUAGGCAUCAGGUCUCCGAGUCGUUUAAAUCUGAACGCAACACCAAGGCUGCUAGCCUGAGCAUUGCCGAACAAUACAUCAAAGCAUAGCUAAACAUGGAAGCCCUCCCUAAUUCAUCAAUUUACAAAGGUCAUAGGAUGGUGGCAACAGAGGGACUCUUUGGUGCCGGAGAGCUCGGGAUUCAUCACCCCUAACUGAAUCAACCCUGCUAUCACAGGUUCCCUCCUCCUGGUCCUUCAUUGCCACAAAAUUUCCCAUUGCCUUGCAAUUUGUUAGAUUCGUUGAUUUUGCUAUCCUAUAGUCCUGGAUGGGUCCCCAGCCCCAGGCAAACCAAUCUCAGUGGAAUCAUGGAGAUCAAAAGAUUUUGCUAUGUCGAUAUACUUCUAUGAAUUACAUAUUUUCUUCCUUGAGAGUAAUCAGUGUAAUCUUUGAAAAGUAGCCUCUGCAUGUUUAUGGCCUCUCAGCUUCGUGCUUAUGGUGUGGCUGCGUGGAAGCCGACGACAAGUACGGCCGCUCUCUACUUGCCUCUAAUAUGUAUGUCUUAACUCCCUCGAGAAAAGGAGUCUUUGCAAGACUACCCGCAUAUCUGGAGGCAUCGCGUGCGCCCGCCGUUUAUGACCGCCGGAUCGAUUCACCACAGACGGCGGUGAUGCAGACCAGGAACGCAUCGGACAUGGACGCUGUGCGGAAACUCGGCGCUGCCAGCGCCACCUCGGUGAGGAGGAAGACGCUCUGCGACAUCACCAACCUAAGGCGGCCGCUGGUGGCGGCAGGACGGGUUGAGGUACGCGGACGGCGUGGAUGGGAUCGCGUGGUUGGUCAAGGCAAGAUUUGCUGACCCGACUCCACCGCCGUCUCUUUCUUGGUUAUGAGUAUGAUGUGUCGCGGUCGCUAGCGCUGCUCUUUUUUUCUUGAAUCUAUGUGUGUGUAAAUGCAAGAGAAUUCGGAUCUUGUGAAGCUCCUGGAGGAGAGAGUAUUUUCCUUCAUCGAUUGUUCUCUUUUGUCUAGGAUGGAUAGGGCUUCUUGAUGUGUGGUUGUUCUGGUGUUGAAUCUAUUUGGUUUGAUUUGCAUAGUAUACAUCACGGCUCCAUAGUAGACAUCCAUGUUUAAAACUAAGAUCAGAUAUUUGAAUUGUCAGACUCUUUUGCUCA